CCUACGGGAGGCAGCCGUGGGGAAUAUUGGGCAAUGGGCGCAAGCCUGACCCAGCAACGCCGCGUGAAGGAAGAAGGCUUUCGGGUUGUACACUUCUUUUGUCAGGGACGAAGCAAGUGACGGUACCUGACGCAUAAGCCACGGCUAACUACGUGCCAGCAGCCGCGGUAAUACGUAGGUGGCAAGCGUUAUCCGGAUUUAUUGGGUGUAAAGUGCGUGUAGGCGGGAAUGCAAGUCAGAUGUGAAAACUAUGGGCUCAACCCAUAGCCUGCAUUUGAAACUGUAUUUCUUGAGUGCUGGAGAGGCAAUCGGAAUUCCGGGUGUAGCGGUGAAAUGCGUAGAUAUACGGAGGAACACCAGUGGCGAAGGCGGAUUGCUGGACAGUAACUGACGCUGAGGCGCGAAAGCGUGGGGAGCAAACAGGAUUAGAUACCCGGGUAGUC
rnacentral:rRNA from 1 species